AGGAAGACUAUUCAUUUUUUGAGCAACAACACAAGUAUACGAAAUUUGUUUUCUCUUUCACUAAAGAUUACCAACACUAAAACAAAGUUGAGGAUGUAAAUAUGAUCUGUAAAAAGUAUAUCAAUACGAUCUUAAAUAUUGUUAGAUAGAAGACAAUGAAAAUUUAAAAAAAGGAAAAAGUUG